rnacentral:rRNA from 1 species
AUUGAACGCUGGCGGCAGGCUUAACACAUGCAAGUCGAGCGAGCGGCGGACGCGUGAGUAAUGUCCGGGAAACUGCCUGAAGGAGGGGGAUAACUACUGGAAACGGUAGCUAAUACCCCACACCAUCCGAUGUGCCCAGAGGGGAUUAGCUAGUAGGUGGGGUAAUGGCUCACCUAGGCGACGAUCCCUAGCUGGGCUGAGAGGAUGACCAGCCACACUGGAACUGAGACACGGUCCAGACGCCUACGGGAGGCAGCAGUGGGGAAUAUUGCACAAUGGGGGAAAGCCUGAUGCAGCCAUGCCGCGUGUGUGAAGAAGGCCUUCGGGUUGUAAAGCACUUUCAGCGAGGAGGCGUUACUCGCAGAAGAAGCACCGGCUAACUCCGUGCCAGCAGCCGCGGUAAUUC